AGAACGAACGCUGGCGGCAUGCCUAACACAUGCAAGUCGAACGAGAUCCUUCGGGGUCUAGUGGCGCACGGGUGGCGUAACGCGUGGGAAUCUGCCCUUAGGUACGGAAUAACUCAGGGAAACUUGUGCUAAUACCGUAUGAUGUCUUCGGACCAAAGAUUUAUCGCCUAGGGAUGAGCCCGCGUAGGAUUAGCUAGUUGGUGGGGUAAAGGCCUACCAAGGCUACGAUCCUUAGCUGGUCUGAGAGGAUGAUCAGCCACACUGGGACUGAGACACGGCCCAGACUCCUACGGGAGGCAGCAGUGGGGAAUAUUGGACAAUGGGCGAAAGCCUGAUCCAGCAAUGCCGCGUGAGUGAAGAAGGCCUUCGGGUUGUAAAGCUCUUUACCCGGGUAAGAUAAUGACUGUACCGGGAGAAUAAGCCCCGGCUAACUCCGCGCCAGCAGCCGC
rnacentral:rRNA from 1 species